GAUGAAGAACGCAGUGAAAUGCGAUAGGUAAUGUGAAUUGCAGAAUUCAGUGAAUCAUCGAGUCUUUGAACGCACAUUGCGCCCCCUGGUAUUCCGGGGGGCAUGCCUGUCCGAGCGUCAUUGCUGCCCUCAAGCACGGCUUGUGUGUUGGGCCUCCGUCCUCCUCCCGGGGGACGGGCCCGAAAGGCAGCGGCGGCACCGCGUCCGGUCCUCGAGCGUAUGGGGCUUCGUCACCCGCUCUUGUAGGCCCGGCCGGCGCUUGCCGACACAUCAAUCUUUUUUCCAGGUUGACCUCGGAUCAGGUAGGGAUACCCGCUGAACUUAAGCAUAUCAAUAAGCGGAGGA
rnacentral:misc_RNA from 1 species